rnacentral:rRNA from 1 species
UACGAAGGGUGCAAGCGUUAAUCGGAGUUACUGGGCGUAAAGGGUGCGUAGGCGGUUGUUUAAGUCUGUCGUGAAAUCCCCGGGCUCAACCUGGGAAUGGCGAUGGAUACUGGGCAGCUAGAGUGUGUCAGAGGAUGGUGGAAUUCCCGGUGUAGCGGUGAAAUGCGUAGAGAUCGGGAGGAACAUCAGUGGCGAAGGCGGCCAUCUGGGACAACACUGACGCUGAAGCACGAAAGCGUGGGGAGCAAACAGG